rnacentral:rRNA from 1 species
CUGUCCAACGUUAAUCGGGGCAGGGUGAGUCGGCUCCUAAGGCGAGGCUGAAAAGCGUAGUCGAUGGGAAACAGGUUAAUAUUCCUGUACUUGGUAAAGCUGCGAUGUGGGGACGGAGUAGGUUAGGUUAUCGCACUGUUGGAUAUGUGCGUUUAAGUUGGUAGGUGGGAAGUUUAGGCAAAUCCGGACUUCCUUAACACAGAGAGAUGAUGACGAGGCUCUACGGAGCUGAAGUAACUGAUACCACACUUCCAGGAAAAGCCACUAAGCGAAAGGCUUUACUAAACCGUACUGAAAACCGACACAGGUGGUCAGGUAGAGAAUACUCAGGCGCUUGAGAGAACUCGGGUGAAGGAACUAGGCAAAAUAGCACCGUAACUUCGGGAGAAGGUGCGCCGGCGUAGAUUGUAGUCCCUAGCGGGCGAAGGUUGAACCGGUCGAAGAUACCAGCUGGCUGCAACUGUUUAUUAAAAACACAGCACUCUGCAAACACGAAAGUGGACGUAUAGGGUGUGAUGCCUGCCCGGUGCUGGAAGGUUAAUUGAUGGUGUCAUCGCAAGAGAAGCACCUGAUCGAAGCCCCAGUAAACGGCGGCCGUAACUAUAACGGUCCUAAGGUAGCGAAAUUCCUUGUCGGGUAAGUUCCGACCUGCACGAAUGGCAUAAUGAUGGCCAGGCUGUCUCCACCCGAGACUCAGUGAAAUUGAAAUCGCCGUGAAGAUGCGGUGUACCCGCGGCUAGACGGAAAGACCCCGUGAACCUUUACUAUAGCUUGACACUGAACAUUGAAUUUUGAUGUGUAGGAUAGGUGGGAGCCUUUGAAGCAGUGACGCCAGUCAUUGUGGAGGCGACCUUGAAAUACCACCCUUUAACGUUUGAUGUUCUAACGAAGAUGACGAAACGUGGUCUCGGACAGUGUCUGGUGGGUAGUUUGACUGGGGCGGUCUCCUCCCAAAGCGUAACGGAGGAGCACGAAGGUUUGCUAAUCACGGUCGGACAUCGUGAGGUUAGUGCAAUGGUAUAAGCAAGCUUAACUGCGAGACAGACAAGUCGAGCAGGUACGAAAGUAGGUCAUAGUGAUCCGGUGGUUCUGAAUGGAAGGGCCAUCGCUCAACGGAUAAAAGGUACUCCGGGGAUAACAGGCUGAUACCGCCCAAGAGUUCAUAUCGACGGCGGUGUUUGGCACCUCGAUGUCGGCUCAUCACAUCCUGGGGCUGAAGUAGGUCCCAAGGGUAUGGCUGUUCGCCAUUUAAAGUGGUACGCGAGCUGGGUUUAGAACGUCGUGAGACAGUUCGGUCCCUAUCUGCCGUGGGCGUUGGAUGAUUGAUUGGGGCUGCUCCUAGUACGAGAGGACCGGAGUGGACGCAUCACUGGUGUUCCAGUUGUCUCGCCAGAGGCAUUGCUGGGUAGCUAAAUGCGGAAGAGAUAAGUGCUGAAAGCAUCUAAGCACGAAACUUGCCAAGAGAUGAGUCAUCCCUGACUUUAAGUCAGUAAGGGUUGUUGUAGACUACGACGUAGAUAGGUCAGGUGUGUAAGUGUAGUGAUACAUUGAGCUAACAGAUACUAAUUGCCCGAGAGGCUUAACUAU